AACCCUGUAGGGUCUGUUUCGAGUUUGUGGAAGCUGUGUUCUUUUGGUCUUCACAAUAAAUCUUGAUUCUGCUUAGUGUUGGGAACUGUGCUAUGUUUGUGAGCUGUAAUACUGCCAAGGUGUGCAGCUUCACUCAUGAAGCCACAGAGACCAUGAACCCAUCAAGACCACGAUCCUACCGGGAGGAAUGAAUAACUCCAGACACGCCACCUUUAAGAGCUGUAACACUGGCCGGGUGUGGUGGCUCACGCCUGUAAUCCCUGCAUUUUGGGGGGGCUGAGGUGGGCGGAUCACAAGUUCAGGAGAUCCAGACCAUCCUGGCCAACAUGGUGAAAUCGUGUCUCUGCUAAAAAUAAGAAAAAUUAGCCAGGAGUGGUGGCAGGCGCCUGUAGUCCCAGCUACUCGGAGGCUGAGGCAGUAGAAUGGCAUGAACCCGGGAGGUGGAGCUUGCAGUGAGCUGGGAUUGCAUCACUGCACUCCAGCCUGGGUGACAGAGCGAGGCUCUGUCUCAAAAAAAAAAAAAAAAAAAGCUGUAACACUCACGGCAACGGUCUGUGCCUUCACUCCUGAAGUAAGCAAGACCACGAACCCACCAGAAGGAAGAAACUCUGGACACAUCUGAACAUCUUAAGGAACAAAUUCUGGACACCAUCUUUAAGAACUAUAACAGUCACUAUGAGGGUCUGCCUGUUCAUUCUUGAAGUCAGUGAGACUAAAAUCAACUGGAAGGAACCAAUUCUGGACACAGAAGCAUUACUUUCUCUGAAGGAAGCCCAUGCUUCUGCCCCUGGGCAUCUGAGCCAGCUCAAAGCAUGUUUGGCUUGGAGGAAACCUCACCAGGAAGGACAGCGCAGCUCUAUUAAGCUGUGGUGGGGAUGAACAACUGGCCUGUGAACUGUCAUGCCUGGAUUUUGGUCACAUAUAGUUAGUUACCAGGUAAUCUCUCAGCUUGGAAAAACAGCAUCAAGCAACUAGUGAAAGUGAUUCUCUGUGCACUCCAGGUCCCCGACUGCUUGCUGAACUGACUUGAUAUAGAUGUUGGUUUCACAAUACUGGGAAGUGUGAAAUAGCUGAUGAACUUUAAAGAAAUCAUCCCUAUCACAUGUCAACAAAUUGAAGGCUGUCCUCUCCAACAGCUACAGGAUGGGCAGCUGUUCUCUGUUGCUGAUUAAAUGCAGAUCCAUAAGCUUUGGCAAGAAGUUGAGUGGAGGAAGUGUUGAUUGCCUCCUGAGGAAACCAAGAUGCCUAACAAUGACUUAGGCCUGAGUCCUUGCUCAGGGCUGUGUGUGUUUAUGUGUUCCACAAUCAUCUGUAGAAAAUUAUUGGGGGAAAUUCUCCCCCGAUAUUUCACUUAGGUUCUUUUCUGUUUUCCCUAAGUGUCAGCUGGUCUGAGAAAUAAAGGGACAGAGUACAAAAGAGAGAAAUUUUAAAGCUGGUUGUCCGGGGGAGACAUCACAUGUCGGCAGGUUCUGUGAUGCCCCCUGAGCCAUAAAACCAGCAAGUUUUUAUUAUUGAUUUUCCAAAGGGGAAGGAGUGUACCAAUAGGGUGUGGUUCACAGAGAUCAUGUGCUUCACAAGGUAAUAGAAUAUCACAAGGCAAAUGGAGGCAGGGUGAGCUCACAGGACCACAGGACCAGGGCGAAAUUAAAAUUGCCAGUGAAGUUUUGGGCACGCAUUGUCAUUGAUAACAUCUUAUCAGGAGACAGGGUUUGAGAGCAGACAACCAGUCUGACCAAAAUUUAUUAGGCGGGAAUUUCCUCAUCCUAAUAAGGCUGGGAGCACUACUGAGACCCGGGCUUAUUUCAUCCCCUAUCUACAACCGUAAAAGACAGCUGUCCCCAGAGCGGCCAUUUGAGAGGCCUCCCCUUAGGGACGCAUUCUCUUUCUCAGGGAUGUUCCUUGCUGAGAAAAAGAAUUCAAUGAUAUUUCUCCUAUUUGCUUUUGAAAGAAGAGAAAUAUGGCUCUGUUCUGCCUGGCUCACAGGCAGCCAAAGUUUAAGGUUAUCUCCCUUGUUCCCUGAACAUUGCUGUUAUCCUGGUCUUUUUUCAAGGUGCCCAGAUUUCAUAUUGUUCAAACACACAUGCUCUACAAACAAUUUGUGCAGUUAACGCAAUCUUCACAGGGUCCUGAGGUGACAUACAUCCUCCUCAGGGAUUAAGAGAUUAAAGUAAAGGCAGGCAUAAGAAAUCACAAGGGUAUUGAUUGGGGUAGUGAUAAGUGUCCAUGAAAUCUUCACAAUUUAUAUUCAGAGAUUGCAGUAAAGACCGGCUUAAGAAAUUAUAAAAGUAUUAAUUUGAGGAACUAUUAAAUGUCCAUGAAAUCUUCACAAUUUAUGUUCUUCUGCUGUGGCUUCAUCCAGUCCCUCCGUUCAGGCUCCCUAACUUCCCACAGCAGAAAAUGAUUUUGGAUCCACCAGAAAACACAAACUAUGAUGGAUGACCAGAGCUCUAACAUUUGCACUCCUUACUAAAAGAACACAAUCGUUUUAGUCUUGGGAAUGUUCAGAGUAAGUGAAAUCAGUUAAGUAUCCCAAUCAAAAAGAAUCUCCAGAAAGCACCUCACAUUUGAACUUGAGAAAGCAAAUUUUUAGUGAAAUGAUUUAUUUAAACAAAUCUUUGUUUGUAAACCUCUUGGGAUGAGGAUUGUCUACAAAACCAUAACUUGAAUUUGAGACUAGUUGGUCUUACUUUGAAGCAACACAGAACUACAAUGCUUAGCUGUUUGAUGCACAACUAGAUAGAGAUGGCACACUUCAUCAUCCACCUAAAAGAAGAUGCAUGUAUUCAUAUUACCUACAUUCUCCAUACCAGGCAAUUAUGUAGCCACCUUAGCUGUGAAUAGUAUAAGAUAAUUAACAAAUAAGUGUUAGAGAAGUGGUAAUUGUAAGUUCUAGAAAAUAUUACUUGAGUGCAUUUUUUUGUUUUUCUUAAUUUGUGGGAAUUGCUCCAUUCUGAAUGAAUUAAUUAAUUUUUUAACAGUAAUACCCUUAGUAGUAAAAAUCCAAACAAUGCUGUAACUAUAGAAUAAAACCCUCCCUUUCCCUCCCACCCUUCUUGCCAAGGGUAAUAACUUUCCAAAGUUUCUGCUUUUACUUUUUCGGGCCAUGGUUUUCAUAGCUCUAAAUAAUAUGUUCAGGGCCCUAGUUCUUGAUCUGCCAACUUUCAACAGUGUCUCUUGGCUCCUCUCCGUUAAAAAAAAAAUUAAAUUACAUACAUCAAAUUUUACUCAGCCUAAACUUUAUUUAUAUAUGUGUGAUUAUUUUCUCUUUUAGUUCUUUUGUUUUAUUUUUAUGACUUCAAAAUAUGUCAAAGCUAUUUCUUGAUCUCUAUUUACAGGGCACCCUUUGACUCUCCAUGUACGUUAAAGGAAUUAAAACCUUUGUUUUCCUGCUCUUCCUCUUCCCUCUCCAUCUCAUCAUCUGUCAGUUCUGUUCUUAUCUCAAACUGUAAGGUUUAUAAUAUUUUCAUUCUCCUUUGUCGGUAUAUUGUAUUUUAUCAAAUCUAACAUGCCACAUAAUUGUUGUAUGUUUCAUUAAACUAAGAAAAUGCCGUCAAUGGUACUUUAUUGGUUACACAGUACGUCCCAUUUUCAAGGAGGCUAAAAUGUUGGGGGGGAAGUUCCAUUAGAUUUUAUAAGAGAUAAUAAUUAGUCUCCUGUACUUUGUAGGUAAAUUCUAAAAAUAAAAAUAAGCUACUUUUACAAUAUUGUUGUGUAAUAUUUCAGUAGAAUGGAUUAGGAUCAUAGAAGAGGGAUAGAAGUUUUUGUCACUAAACCAGUGCUACCCAAAUGUAAUGGUUACAUGUCAAAAAGAUUCUCUUUUUUUACAGCCUAAAUUUGUCCUAAAUCAUGCACCAUUUUAAUGUUCUUCAUGUUGAGCUUUGAUUUUAUGUUUCUUUCCUAGACUGUCUAUUGUAUAUAUUUUAGCAUUAAAAAUAAUAUUUUGUAUUCACCUUAUCACAA
rnacentral:lncRNA from 1 species